UGCAGAGAACUUUCCUGAGAUGGAUUGGUGGCCUUCGGGAACUCUGACACAGGUGCUGCAUGGCUGUCGUCAGUUCGUGUCGUGAGAUGUUGGGUUAAGUCCGUAACGAGCGCAACCCUUGUCCUUAGUUACCAGCACGUUAUGGUGGGCACUCUAAGGAGACUGCCGGUGACAAACCGGAGGAAGGUGGGGAUGACGUCAAGUCAUCAUGGCCCUUACGGCCUGGGCUACACACGUGCUACAAUGGUCGGUACAAAGGGUUGCCAAGCCGCGAGGUGGAGCUAAUCCCAUAAAACCGAUCGUAGUCCGGAUCGCAGUCUGCAACUCGACUGCGUGAAGUCGGAAUCGCUAGUAAUCGUGAAUCAGAAUGUCACGGUGAAUACGUUCCCGGGCCUU
rnacentral:rRNA from 1 species